ACAAAAAGGCAGCUUUCGAUGGAGGUCAACCUGAAACCGAUUCUGAAAGGCAUUAGGGGCUUAAGGGUUUGAUUAAACUGUAGAUUACCGAGAUAAAUCAUUUCUCGCAGAAAAAAAAACAGCAAUGGACAGCAGGAAACCUGGACGCUGGAUUGUCUAAUAAACGAUUACCCAGUUAUA